CUCAAGUCCAGCUGUGGCCAAGCUUCUUGUUGCCCCUUCUCUGGCAGUGCUUCUCAGCGGCAUCACCAGCGUUGGUGGCCGUCGGGAGGCACACUAGCUGGAACUUUAUGAGCAGGCAGGAGGCACACUAGCUGGAAGUCUGGAAAUUAAUGAGCAGGUCAUGCCGCUUACGGUUGUCAAAGAACUUGAUCUUGAAGCUUACAAGACCUUCUUUUUUUCUUUUGUGGGAAUUGUGUAUUAUGAAUUUAUGAUGAUGGGAAGAUUGUUUCUUGUUAACAAAGUGUAUAUUUCAACAAAACUGUUGUUGUAUGGCCUUGUGGUCAAAGUGUACAUUCUAAUAAAUUUCUGUUCAUUUUUAGA